UUUUCCUAUAUAAAUAGCAGCAGUGAGCUAUAAAUAUUUUAUUCUACUUCAUUUCUCAGUACAAAACUUCAUUCCAAUUUGAAAACACUUCACUACGAUCUUCGUCAUGUUUUAUAAAAGCACUUUACUCCGUUUUAUAGUUGCCACUUUUGUUUUCGCGACACUGUUAACUCUAACACAUUGUGCUGAGCGGGAACUUUUUGCCACAAAUACUCAGGUUUUACUGCGUCAUAUAAGACAGGGAUCACUGCCGAUACCGAGACCAGCAUUUCAAGGUAACGCUCCUCAUCCACGACCAGCUAGACAAGGAAAUCGACCGCCUACUAGGCCAGCAUAGUAGAUCAAGAUAAGCUCGUUCGAGACAUACGGGGUUCAAUGACAUAACGGGUUAUUUUUUUAACCGUACAUAAUAUAAUCACAUAAUAUGAUGUAACAAAAAUAAAAAUUGGAAAUAAAAGCGAUAUUCGUUUUAUUUCUAUUAUUAUAAAACGGA